CUUCAGUCACUAAAAUAUUUGAAAUGCUACAAAAUAUUUAUAUAAACUAUUAUUUAACCAUUUCUGUUUGUAGAGUGCCAUACAGUAAUCAUUAUAGAUGACAUCUCAAGUCUUUCUAUAGCUUUAACCACAUUUAUCUCCUAAUUUUAAUUAUUAGUAUGUUGAAGCAGUGCAUACAACUAGAUUCUGACCCUCCUAUUUAAUGAGUAAAAAUAUGUCCUCUGAAACAGCGUUAAAGAAAGAGCACCUUGUAUGAAUUCAAUGCCAAGAGACAAGAUAUUCUUGAUUCUGAAGUUUUGUUAUUUCAUACAGCAAUGUAAUUAAUAAUAAGAAGAAAGCAGGACAUAGGUGUGGAGUCUAUUUUAAUCAAAAUUGUCUACAGAUUUUGAUAAUGAAAUUUAAAAAUUACUAUAUUUAGUUAGUUCCAAAUAACUAGGUUGUGGGACCAUAUUUGUUUAAUAAAACACCCCUACUAAAUGCUGGAAAAAAAAAGUUAGGUACCACCUUUCUUCUCUGCAGAUAGCCUGAGAUGGGUUAAUUUGAAGAAUGCUUCCAAACCUGAGGUGACCCCUGAGAACAGCAUAGUUCACUGCUGUCUCCUACAUUCAGUUUCUCAGUUUGUGCUCUUUUAAUUUCGGGGGGAGGGAAGCCAGUCCUUUAAACUGAUCUUCAGCAUGAUGGCAGAGCCAAGGAGUGUGGACAGGUGGCACGGUCUGUGACCUUGUUCCAGCAGCCACUUGGGCUUUCUCCGGGUCUUCUUCGCCCUAGGGAUAGCAUUAUUACUGGAAACAUGUCUUUGUGACGUUCUCUAUGCCAGGAACUCCCGAUGCAUUUUCCUUGAAACUGAUGAAAUGAAUAAAAAUAAACCAUGAGGUGUGCUGUUUGUUUCUGUUUCCUCCUUUCUGCAGCCCUUCUUGAUCAUCUAAUAUUUUAAAUACAUUGUCGAUCACCAAAAGGAGCAUAAGGGGUAUAUUGAUUUGUACCGGAUGCCCAGCCCCUUUCCCUUACCUGUAGCUGCUCGGAAGAAAACCAUUGUUAACACUCUACAAGGUCUCAUCUCCAGUAUUUGCACCUGUUUCUACCUGAGGACUUUCUCUAGCAGCAUGGGAGCUUAUUACUGGGCAUGGAGUGGGAAGAAGAGGAAAGGAAAUAACAUGUACAGUUGAACCUUAAGCAACACGGAGGUUAGGGGUGCUGGCCCCCUUGCACCAUAGAAAAUCCACUAC
rnacentral:lncRNA from 1 species